rnacentral:ncRNA from 1 species
AAGUAACUUAUGAUGAGUUUAGUAGUAAUAUAGCAAUUUUAAGAGAAUCGAUGUUUUGGUGAAAAUCGAUAUUGUUUUAUUAUGAAUCCAACUCUGAAGUAGCUAUUAAAUUAGUUCGGUAUAACCGUUAUAUUUUUAAGAGAAUCAAUUUUUAGUUGGUUAAUUAGGGUGGCAACGCGGAGUUUUUCGUCCCUUUA